UUGGUUAAAAUAGGAAACACACGUAAAAUAUCUUUGAAGCUUUAACUUCCGUAUAGACAUAGCAUGUCACAUAUAUGCGUAAAAAAUGAAGAAAAAUUCCCAGGCUUGGCUACAUACACUGCGAAAGAAGAGCCAGGCCCGGGAUGCGGCGGUAUGUCCUUCCUCCUCCCCGCCCAGGUGACGGAACUCCCUCACAGAGAAGCCGUCCUUAGCAUGACCUCCACUCCCGAUAACGGCCUCCUCCUGCUGGGCCAGGACGGCCUGCUCUCCCUCUGGUCUCCGACACUCCGGCUCAGAAAAACCAGAGCACUUCUUGAAGAAAACAAACAACCAGCCAGAACACCCAAGUGGAUUGCAGACACAACGUUGAUGCCGCAGUAUAACAAACUUGUUAUCGGAACUUGGUGAGCAUUGUCAGUACUCUGAAUGUCAGUUAUACUGUACUUCAUAAAGAGCUUCAUCGAAAAAUGAGGGAAUGCACCU